GGAAUAAAACACUUAUCCCCCAGGAAUAACUCAGCCAAAAAGAAGGAAUCACUUUUAUUCCUUAUGACAACAAAAUAAGACUUUUUUCAUUCCGAUAUAAUGCUCCAUUCCGUUACAUUUCUAAUUAGUGUAUACCAAAUGCUACUACCAUGUUAAUCUCUGCAAAUAGUUGAGAAAUAAUCGUCUCCACCCCCAAAUAGAAAAGGCCCAUUAGAGCGUCCUAGGUUGGUAAGAGGCCCAUAUGAUGGGUUAUUAGGAAAUUCCAAAUAGCACACUCCGUAAGGGGGCAAGACACAUUAGGUAUUUUUUAAUGUUCGAUUGAGUUAAAUCAUUUUACACGUUUGCUUGGAUCAUGCAUUGCACAAUGCACAAUUCAAGCACGGCUAAAUACCAAACACAAUGGCAGAACACAUAUAAAAGAAACAUAAAAAUAUAGCACCAUAUUCAACAAUGCAAACAUAUGGAGAUCAUAUCAAACGUAUAUAACAUUAAAUAUAACUCAAUGCGAGCAAAGAUGAACAUCCCCAAAGUUCAUUUCUUUAAAUUUACUUUUUACAAUUACAAUAGUUCAAAACAAAUAACAAAAACUAAUCUACAACUAGAAAAUUUCUUAGAUAUACUUAACAUACAAAAACUUGAAAUCAUAGUAUCGUAGUUCUUAUCCAACAUGAUGUUAGAGCUAUUUAUAUCACCAUGCAUGACUUUUUGUUGCGAUAACAAAGGAUUAUGACGGCAUGCUAACCCACACACAACACCAAUGUCUAUCUGGAAGCAUCAGACUCACUCUCACGUGACACUAGCACAACACAUAUUUUUGGAUGCACAAGUCUCAUGUAGAGCCGAUGUCUCAAGAUAUGCAAUGGUGUUGCUUGUGGGCUAUACUACCUUCAUAAUCCUUUGUAAUCGUUGAAAAAAAGUCAUACAUCGUGACAUAAAGAGCUCCAACAUCUUGUUGGAUGAGAAUCAAGAAACCAAGAUUUUUGGGUUUUGUAGAUAUCAAAAAUAGUUUAUGGUAAGUACAUACUCAUUAAACUCAUCAAAUGAAAUCUUAAAAUGGACAAAAUGCCGUUAUGGUCUUCAAUUGAAAAUCCAACCUUUAAGACCUCCAAGGUAACUGAAAAAAACAUAAUCUCAACAUUAAUUCCAAACUUACUAACCAAUCAGAUGGUAUAAAACAUACCAUGAGUUUUAAAAUCUUUAAGAUCGACAACUGGUACUGACUUUGCAAAGUGUUUAACAAUAAUCUCUACCAUAAAAAUGGUAGAAAAAGAGCUAAAGGAAUAAAAACUAGUGUUAACAGAUUUAACAAUUUGUAAGCAAAUCUAAUGCUCGAUCUAUAAAAUUCAAACAAUUGUCUUUAUGUGAUUCAUAUUUGUACACAACAUCGAUAUCAAAGUUCGAUAAUUUUUAUGAUAUGUAACUAGCAAAAUAGAGAAUCAAACUAAAUUUUUUAGGAAAUCUAGAUCUAAAGAAAUCGGCCAAAUGCUAUGUAAGAUAUCUUAGAAAACUUUUUAUUUAAUAAUCAGCUUAAUUGAAUACUAAAAAAAAUUAAGUGACUUGCAAAUAUAUAAUAGGCAAUAAACAACAUGAUGCAAUACAUGAUGUAAAACAUACCUAUACUUGCAACAUGAACACCAAUAGGGCCGAUGAGGGCAUUUCUUCGAUUGUGAAUACAAGAUUCAACACAUCGUGAGAAAUUCGGCGGAUGAUAGAAGUCUAGGGUUUGUUGAUUUAUGAUGGUCGUGAAAUUUUAGUUAGUCCCUCUC
rnacentral:lncRNA from 1 species